UGCUACAUCAUUUGAAUUGUUUGAUUUGCUAAAAUUCCAUUUAAAGUAGGACUCGAUGACUUAUCGCAAAAAUCGUCGAAAUCAACACAUUUUUAAUUAUUCUUCAGCUCUGGAAAUUUAUUUUAAAGUUCGGGACUAGAAAUUUGUAGUCAGUAAGUUGAUUAAUAAAAUGCGGAAAAGUUUGUUAAGUCAAUUUCGAUAAGUUCCAAUUUUUCUGAAGGUCUCAAACUUUUCUUUAAAAAAAUUGUCAAAAUCUGGAGUGUUUCUCUUAAAUUGACAACGCCUUGCUCUACAAAUUAGUCCCCCAAUAUUUUUAAAUAAAUUCUCAGAGCCGAGAAAUGAGUAAAAAUGUGCCGAUUUUGAUGAUUUUGGCAAUGAGUCAUCGAGUCCUACAUUAAAAAACUUCCUACCUGACGAACAUCCACAUUUAUAUGCAAACAAGAAAAACGAUUAAACAGUUUAAUCAAAUGGGAACUCUUCGGGUCAUCGCCACUCCAAGCGGAAUCACAAUGAAGUACGUUUAAGUGUCCAAGAUCUGCACCGUUUUCUGUGCGCUUGAUAAUUUGCAUACCUGAAUGUGACAAGCCACGCGCAUUUCCGACCUUCCACGAUAACUCCACUUGCCCUCAACAAUUUCCGGGAUAGGAUCCAAAUUCCAAGACGGGCCACUUCCUUCACUAUGAAACCAUACGAAUAUGAAGCCAUUCGUCUCCGUGACAGGCCACAGUUUAAUUUGUGCAAAUCCGGGAACUUUUUUUCCAAAUUAUGAAAAAAUUGUAAAUAAUUU